rnacentral:lncRNA from 1 species
GCCCCAUUAAACCUAGUACAUCAUGCUGCCUCCACUUGGCCGGUAUUACUGACCCUUCCCACGCGCGCGUGCGGCACAAUCCCUCUUCAAAGCCUCCAGCCCCAUUCGGAGGCGAGCUGAGGCUUCUAGGCAAGGUCCCCGUUUGGCAUGAGAACGCGAGCUGCAGUUGAAAACAACAUAUAAAGGAAAUGAAGCAAACCGCCCAGAGCCACACGGAUCCUGGCCGCUGGUCCAUGCCGUUUCUGGACCCUGAAAACUUCUGCUUCCCAAAUCUCCUCGAACCCCUCCAAGACCUGAGUUUGCCUGAGACCUGAAAUUUCAGCCUCCUUGGAUCAGUUGACCCUAAGCACUGAAAGGAGAGGAAUUAGGGGGAGGAGAUAGAAAAAGAAGAUCCAGUGCUUGAGAACGUUCCAGCUAUAAGGAGGUGAGAAGGGGCUUGGAGGUGAAGGUUCUGAUGGUCCACCCCAAAACAGUGGAAGAAACAU